rnacentral:rRNA from 1 species
GGAAGUAAAAGUCGUAACAAGGUUUGCCUACACUAAGAUCCUUCCCUCAGGGAAACUUACUGAAGCCUUUGCAACCCCCCCAGGGGUGGAUACACGACUCUAAAUAAGGUACCGUAUGCAAGUCGGACGCAAGUCUGGCAACAUGACCGAAUUGACGGGGAAGCCCUAAAGCCCACACCACCAACCUGCACGGGAAACCGUGUAGGGGCCGAUGCUAAUACCAUCGGAGGUAAUAGCGUGUGGGAUGAACAAUGGGUGAUCCGCAGCGAAGGCCCUAAGUGCUCCGGCAUAUGGGACACGUCCACAGACUAAGUGGUCAUGGGUAGUUCACUAAUUCCAGUGACUGCUUCAGAUAUAGUCGGGUCCGCAACGAAACUUGUGGAGUUAUAUAACCGUUCCGUAGGUGAACCUGCGGAAGGAUCAUUAAGGAGUAUUUGCGGGAAAUCGAAAGAAAGUACCGCUCUCCCACCCGUGACUAUAUACUAUGUUGCUUUCCGGGCUUAAACCCCCGGAGAGGACCAAACUCUUGAAUUUAUUACUGUCUGAGUACUAUAUAAUAGUUAAAACUUUCAACAACGGAUCUCUUGGUUCUGGCAUCGAUGAAGAACGCAGCGAAAUGCGAUAAGUAAUGUGAAUUGCAGAAUUCAGUGAAUCAUCGAAUCUUUGAACGCACAUUGCGCCCCUUGGUAUUCCGGGGGGCAUGCCUGUUCGAGCGUCAUUAAUACCAAUCCCUUCGGGGGUCUUGGGGCUUGGGAUCUCCCAGCUCUUAAAAUCAGUGGCGGUGCCUCUCGGCUCUAAGCGUAGUAAUUCUUCUCGCUAUAGUCCCCGGGAGAACAUUUGCCAAUAACCCCCACACUUUUAAGGUUGACCUCGGAUCAGGUAGGGAUACCCGCUGAACUUAAGCAUAUCAAUAAGCGGAGGA